rnacentral:tRNA from 1 species
GGGCGGCUAGCUCAGAUGGUUAGAGCGUCACAUUGACAUUGUGAAGGUCAGAGGUUCGAUUCCUCUGCCGCCCA